AAAUUGUGAGCUAUCCUAAUCUACGUCUACUGAUGUUGUUACCCAGCUAGGAAUUUCUGUCUUAAAAUAAAAAAGGGCUUAUAAAGAAAGCUGCCUAUUACAGCCAUAAUGGACUGAUAAAUACUCAUUUAUUUAGGAAAAAUUCGAAUAGUGUUAAGUCUGGGUGUCUUUAAUAGUAUAUUUAGUAGUAUACGAUGCCUUCUAAAAAGAAAGGAAUGAAUGAACAAAAGAAGGGAGGAAGAUAGGAAGGAAAGCAAAAGAAACGAAGGAAAGGAUGAACAAAGGGUGUAAGGAAGGAAAUAAGGAAGGAAGAUUGUAGACAAGGAAGGUGAGGACAGAUAGAAAGGCAGGAAAGGACCAAUGGAAGGAAGUACAGAAGCAAAAGAAAAGAAGGAAGGAAGAAAGGAAAUAAGGAAGGAAGGGUGUAAGGAGGGAUGAAGGAAGAAAAAGAAAAGAAGGGAGGAAAGAAUAAAUAAAAGGUAUAAGGAAGGAAGGAAGGAAGGAAGAAAGGAACUAUCAAAGGAAGAAAGGAAGUAUAAACAGAAGGAAGGAAGGAAAAACAGAAGGAAGGAAGGAAAAAGAAAAGAAGGGAGGGAGGAACAUGGAAAUAAGGAUGUAAGAAGAGAAGGAAGGAAGGGUGUGAGGAAGUAAGGAAAGGAUCAAAGGAAGAAAGGAGGUAAAGACAGAAGAAAGGAAGGAAGGAAGGAGGAAAAGAUGUAAAGAAGAAGGGAAGAAAGGAAGGAAUGAACAAAGAAAAAAUGUAUUGUUGAAUAGCUCUGUGGGUUUUCUGUGAAUCAGUUAAUGAGCUAAUAGCUAGUUAUAAAUAGCUAACGGCUGUGAGAAUAUUUUCCUUUAAUAGUUUCAUUAAUAUGAUUACUCAAACAUAUCUUUUGGUCUUGGUUUAACACAUCCGAUUUCUGCUCACUGUUUAUUAUGAGUGAGAUGGAUAAACACAUUCUCACACUCUACACAGCAUAAAAAGUACUAAUAUGAAAGAUUUUUAUUGAGCCUUUAAAUAUAGUUUAAAUAUAUGGGGAUAAUGUAAAAGUUGUUCCUUUGGACCAGUUUAGAGGGGUGUGUGUGUGUGUGAGUGUGUGUGUGUGUGUGUGUGUGUGUGUAUGUGAAUGUGUGUGGUGUGUGUGUAAAAAACACUGACCGUGCUGUCAGGAUGUUCAGCUCGUGCACAGAGCCUCUUCUAUUGUGUGGGGAUUUCAGCACUCCUGCAGACAUUUCAGAGCUAAUCGUAAUUCAUGGUGUCGUAUAUAUGCGUUAGGUUACUGACAGGAAAUGGGUUUAGUGAGUGUUGGUGAUGGCCUUAUUUUUUUCAGGUUUUUUCCCAGCUCGCCUGCAUGUGCAUGCAUGUGGCCUCUUUUAGUUGGCAGCACUCCUUGCUAAAAAUACGUUCCCGCACGUCGUCUCAAGAAUUUCUCUCUGCUGUUUCUGGAAAGCGAGAAAAGCUAUCACCGCAUCCCAUAUGCUAAAAAAACAGAAAGCUUCCUUUGUAACUUAAAGCUUCCUUUGUAACUUCUUGUAUGUUUAGGUAUUUAAUUUAAUCCCAAAUCAUUUGACACAUUAUUGUAAUAUUAACCACACAAAGCAUAAUAGUGAUAAAACAAUGGCUCAAAAAUCUCCUCAUAGAUGUUAAGCAGAGUAAUUAUAAUUGGAUUAUACCAUGGUCUGUCUGAGGCCCUGUUCACACUAGUGCCUUUUCAUUUUAAAAUGAAAAUAAUCCUUGUCCACACUGGAGUUUCCGCUGUGUUUCACUGCAAUGUGACACGACCAAAAACGCAUGUCACAUGACCAUCCAUGCACAUACAAGUGUAAACAGGAAAUUGGUUGCUAGUCACCAGAUGGCACAAUGAGCAUGAUGGCGAGGAAAAGCAAGGACGUCUUUAUAAACAUUGGGUUUAUUACAUUCUAGUCAUUCUAUUUUCCUUGGCAUGUUUUUUCUUUAUAAAUAUGGAUAAUCGAGGCUAGCAUGUACACUAGUGUGUACUUAAUCAAAUUCAAUACAAAUUCAAAUAAUUCACUUUAUUUGUAACGUUAGUACACUGGCAUAUUGCAGUGAAAACAUAAACGAUACAUCAUGGUAAAAACAGAUGCAUAGGUCUCAUAAGUGGUCAUACACUCGUUAUGAAAUAAAACAAUAAGGGAUAUUGUUCCUUUUUAAUGUAGGCUGUUUCUGCUGCUCUUAAUGUGGGCUGCUCAAAUGGCUUAUGGGUCACAAAACCUUGUCACCACACAUCUCACUCGUUUCCCCUUGGUUUCAUUGUCCACUGUGUGCUCUCUUUUGGUCUAACCCCAAACCGGCGGUCCAUGUAGGGCUUAUGCCGCUUGAAAUGAGAUUUGUUGCCGAUUGCUCUAAUCAUAGCUUGCCUCUUGCGCAUGUAGUGCGCACCUGCAGUGUUAUAAAAUAUAGAAUUUAUCUGCACAAUGGCUGCUAAGGAUGACAACAAAGCCAGCAAAGCUUGUGGUUCAGUCUCCAUGUUGUUGUAUACGAUCAAGGUAGCAUAAUGGUCAUAUGGUAGGGGCUUGACGAAUCAAGGAAGGAUACGCAAUGAACGAGAAGAGCCAAUCAGGGAGCGAAUGUUGGCAGCCACGCCUUGGUUUUCAAAAGUCUUCGUUUUGGUCUGUUUACACUGAGACGCGAGUUUUCAAACUAAAACGGGGUCUUCUGCGUUUCCAAAAGUCUCAGUUUUCGAGGGUCGAAAAAGCCGGAGUAGUGUAGACGACAGGCGUAACCGUAGCAAAAGUUAUGUGUUUUAAAAACGAAAACACACUAAUUUAAACAGGGCCUGAAUACUCGAUUCUGAUUGGCUGGAAGGUGUGCGUUCAAUCCGCUGAACGCACAGGUAGUUCCAGUCAGUUUACUCACUGUUCUAAAUUAAUGCGCCACCUAUUAACAGCUGUAACCAUAGUAACAUACAGUUACAGUUUCAUACAGUUACAGUAGUUAAACUAACAGCUUCAUUAUUAGUAGAGACGCGGCACAGACGCAGUGAAACCAAUGAUGGCACCAGCGGCACAAUGAAGCGGGAUCAGAGAAACAGAGCGUUUUAAACGGACCAUUCAACACUAUUUGGCAGCCAUUAAAUCCUGCUGCAUGCGUACAAAGAACGACUAAUGGCACAAUUACACAGGCUGAGGAGUCAACGCAUCAAAGACACAGACGAGAUAAAAUGGAACAAUUUGUCAUUCCCAAAACAAGCGAUCAUGCUUUGGAAUAAAACCGCAGCGUGAAAUCCUGGCAAACGCACACACAAAAAGCAGCUGUUGUGCAGUUUAUAUCUAUUGCCACAAUCUGAUCCCUCCAUUUCCAGUGGUUUCUAUACAUUUCUAGAUGGAUAAUCUGUAAUCUAUCUAUCAUUUUGGGGGUUUUUUUCACUCCUUUUGAAGGAAGAUUUAAUAAAUGACAAAACUGACAAAUCACCCACAACACACAGAUCUCCACACACAAUGUAGCACAACACCACUAUGUGCAUCAGUACCUAAUGUAUUAUUUGUAUCUUAGUGCUUCAAUUAUCCGUAUCUGUAUCCAUAUAUAUACCUGAAGUGGGCGUGGCCUAAACUAGGUAUUUUAUUUAUUUAAAAUGAACCCUACCGCUAUGACACCGUCUUUGUUUGGUCUUUGUUUGUCUUGUGAGCUUCACAUCUGACCACUAUGGUAAGACCCUCCUGCUCACACAACAUUUUAGUUGCACACUUCUAGCUUUCUAAAUAAAUGAACAGUGCACCUCCUAUUCAUCUUAACAUCUAGAUAAUGCUUUCAUCUUUGGUUGGUAUCUAAUAGAAAAUACCACAAACAGUAGGAAGACCACACGCCAUGAAUAUGACACAUUAAACGAAGAUUCCUCAAAGCACCUCAGAAGCUCAGAGCUUCAUUACAGCCCAAUAUGUAGCCUUGGGUACUGGCGAGACCUCAUAUGGUCCCACAAAGCUUCUCAAAAAGGAAUGGGAGCUGAUGCUGACGGCUAAUCAUACGCAACUCUAUCCAGCUCAAAUAAGAUUCUGGUCUGUACACAUCAAACACAGCUGAAAAAUAAGAAACAAAAAAAGGUUUGGAUUGGCAGUGUGCUUUUAUGAAUAUUCAGCUUUCCUCGACAGGACGCGGCGUUUUAAACAGUCAGAACAGUCUUGCAGGUGCUUCUCUGUGACAUCUCGUUAAGCAUGAAAUGUUGAGAAAACAGGAAGGGUGCACAUUUGAAAACCUGGAGAAGCUACAAAAAGACAUGUUCAUGAUGGGCUUAAACCGGCAGAACGCAGGUGAGGAAGGGUAUGAUUUGAAAAUCAGAAGAACCCACAAGGCCUGAUGUGUAACGUUCCAUGGAGGGGAAUGCUGGGAGAGAGAAAGUAGAGUGACUGUUGUGCCAACUGGUUCACAGAAGUCACAGCACGUAAAGGAAAAAUGGUAACACGCACGUUAGGCUCGGCUAUUUAUGGAUGUUGACUGAGGAUGACAGCUUCAGGACGAAUUUCUGAAGUGUUCAGAAGGAUUUUAACCACUAAGAUCCAUUCAAACGCCUCAAAAUUCACUGGACAGCAAUUCAUCUUUCAGCUGGACAAACUGCCAAAACAACUAUAAAGGUUUUCAGGGAGAGGAAGUGAGAGGUUCUUGACUGGCUGAAUCAAUCAUCCCAUCCUGAAUCACAUCAAGGUGUAUUUCACUUGAAGAUAUUGAAGACGUGACCUGUUUUAGUGUCAUCACAGGACAAAACGAGCAAGGAUAAACUUAUGUGUAAACUUUCAUGGGCUUAUGAUUCUGUUAUUGUAAAAGCAGUGCCAGAGUGAAUUUGUAUGGAUGAGGACUAACUAUGUAUAAAUUCGGCAGUUUUGCUCAAGCUGGAUGUUUGUACUUUUCAUUGAUAAGGCUAAUUCAUCAUUUCACCAAAUCAGAUAAUAUGUAUUUUGAUACUGUCAAUGGUUAUGAUGUGUCUGCUUUGCUUUCUAACAUAAUUAUUUUUUAUAAUUUGUACCAAGAUAAUAGCAGAGAUAAGUGAGCUAAUACUUAGAUAAUAAAGUUAUGAGAAAUAGGAUCGGAUAUCUACACAGUUAGAGGAAAUGAGGAAUUCACCAUGAGGAGCUCUUCAUACAGCCACAGCUUCUCUUUUUCCUUUACCUGGAUGCAGCUAAUAAAGUGUUUGAAAAAUCCUGAUGUUCUUGAGGUGGUGAGAGCUCAGCAAGUAUGGUUCUAAGUGUUUCCAAGAUAAUGAUUGGGAGGUUGUGAGGUCAGACCCCAGGAAUUCCAGAGAGCCACAAUUACUCAACAAUAUGCUUGGACUGGACUCAUUUCCUGGUUUCCUGGUCUUAAAAGCUGUUAAACAAAUAAAUAAAUGUAUAUAAUUCUGCAAGGAUUGAGGGGUUAACUAUGAGUCACCAAUUUCACACAUCUUUUGCAUGAAACUAAACAAGACUGUGAUUUUUUUUGUGAUUUUUUUCCCCAAUACUAUUUAAUUUAAUGUUAUUUAAGAUUGUUAUUUUGUUUAAGUAUGAAAUGACCAACUGAAAUGAAGUGACUAAAUCCAUCUGACUAUAAAAGGAGCUGUUACACUAUAGUUCCCCCAAUAUACAUCCAAAUACCCUCAUAUUAAAUCUGGCAUAUUGCACUUUAACCUCAUUUCAUGGUUUCUUUUCAAAUCCAGUGGGCUACAAAGACAAAACAACAACAACAACUGUCACUGUGCAAAUAUUUAUAGACUACGCUAUAUCAGUUUUUAUAAAACAAACCAAAAAAUAAAAUAAUCUCAGCUGUAGACAGAUCCUACUACAUCCAACACUUCACAACAACAUGCGUGUCCAGGUCUGUUACCACUUACACCAAAGCUUUCCAAAAAUAGCUCCAUCUAAUUCCCUGAAAGGGAAGACUGCCAUCUUUGGGUCAAGAAACGAUAAGGAGUCUCCUUCUGACAAGCACUUCACAUGCAAAUCCAAAAUAUGUGAAUCAGUCUCAUGGGCGUGGUUAUCUGAUGGCUACUCCUCCAGUCUGUCACAUGUUUACAUGAUUAUGCAUCUAAUUUUGUAUCAGACUUGUAAAGCUUAAAAACUAGAGCUGUCUGUGUUUAAUAAUAUGCUGUAAUAAUUUCACUGUUUCAUAGAAUUGUGCAAUAUUCAUUCUUCCCUGCUCAAUAAAUGCGUAUUUAAUCACCUUGUAACUAUCAUCAUCAUUAACAUUAUUAAAUGUUCAAUGUUAGAUUUGACACUUCGUUGUAGACCUAUUUAUUCUUUUUAGCCCAAAUUUCAUAAUUUUUUUUCCUUCUAUCAUUUUUUUUGGUAAAAACCGAAAGUCAUUUUCAGCCAAACUUUUUCAGUGACAUUCCUAAUAAAUACAACUCACUGAUGUUAACUAUAACUAUAUCAUGUUAUCCAAGUCAAACAUUCACUGGUAGAUUUUAUUUCACAUUAAAGGGGUCAUGAUAUGAGAAAUCAAAUUCUCCUUGGUCCUUUGACAUAUAAGAGGUCAUUAUACUAUUAAAACAUCCUGCAAGUUUCAUAGCUUUACACCUCCAAGACAUCGAAACCUACUUUUACAUAAUCACACUGUUGGCCCCACCCACUGGCAAAGAUGUUAGCCAAUUAUAGCAGUGGGUGGUUACAUUGAAGGUAAAGGACACAAAAAGCGAUCGUUUCAGCCAGAGGGUCAGAGACAGGGUGGAAAAAGUUUUAAAUUACUACAUAAUUGGCUACAUUUUGUAAAUUUAAAACAUGUAAAUAAUUACAUGUCAGGGAAGAUGAAAAAAAAACAUGUCAUGACCCCUUUAAUGAACUCACAACAAUCUCCAUUUACCUUGACAGAAAUUGCGGGUGCAACAGAUUGGGGAAAGGGGCGGGGCUUCC